rnacentral:rRNA from 4 species
GAGCCGUCCUUGAAAUACCACCCUUUAAUGGCUGGUGUUCUAACGUAGACCCGUGAACCGGGUUGCGGACAGUGUCUGGUGGGUAGUUUGACUGGGGCGGUCUCCUCCUAAAGCGUAACGGAGGAGCACGAAGGUUGGCUAAUCCUGGUCGGACAUCAGGAGGUUAGUGCAAUGGCAUAAGCCAGCUUGACUGCGAGCGUGACGGCGCGAGCAGGUGCGAAAGCAGGUCAUAGUGAUCCGGUGGUUCUGAAUGGAAGGGCCAUCGCUCAACGGAUAAAAGGUACUCCGGGGAUAACAGGCUGAUACCGCCCAAGAGUUCAUAUCGACGGCGGUGUUUGGCACCUCGAUGUCGGCUCAUCACAUCCUGGGGCUGAAGUAGGUCCCAAGGGUAUGGCUGUUCGCCAUUUAAAGUGGUACGCGAGCUGGGUUUAGAACGUCGUGAGACAGUUCGGUCCCUAUCUGCCGUGGGCGCUGGAGAACUGAGGGGGGCUGCUCCUAGUACGAGAGGACCGGAGUGGACGCAUCACUGGUGUUCGGGUUGUCAUGCCAAUGGCACUGCCCGGUAGCUAAAUGCGGAAGAGAUAAGUGCUGAAAGCAUCUAAGCACGAAACUUGCCCCG